UACGGAGGGGGCUAGCGUUGUUCGGAAUUACUGGGCGUAAAGCGUAUGUAGGCGGCUAAGCAAGUCAGGCGUGCAAGCCCGUGGCUCAACCACGGAAUUGCGUUUGAAACUGUUUGGCUUGAGUACAGGAGAGGAAAGCGGAAUUCCCAGUGUAGCGGUGAAAUGCAUUGAUAUUGGGAAGAACAUCUGUGGCGAAGGCGGCUUUCUGGUCUGUUACUGACGCUGAGAUACGAAAGCCAGGGGAGCGAACGGG
rnacentral:rRNA from 1 species